AUUGCCCCUAGAGGUGUUAGAGGUGUGGCUGCUGUGUCAUGUGUGUGUCAACAGGUAGAAGAGAGGAUAGAGGCUAUCUCUACACUCAAAAUUCUGACCCAUGGAUAUCUGAAUGAUUGGCAGCCUACCACU